GACGAACGCUGGCGGCGUGCUUAACACAUGCAAGUCGAACGAAGUGGCGAACGUGUGAGUAACGCGUAAUCAACCUGCCCUUCAGAGGGGGACACCAGUUGGAAACGACUGCUAAUCCCGCAUACUGAAGGAGGGGAUUGAGUCUGAUUAGCUAGUUGGAGGGGUAACGGCCCACCAAGGCGAUGAUCAGUAGCCGGGUUUGAAGGAGGAACGGCCACAUUGGGACUGGGGCCCGGCCCCAGCGUCUAAGGGAGGCAGCAGGGGGGAAUCUUCCGCAAUGGGCGAAAAGCUGACGGAGCCACGCCGCGUGAGUGAUGACGGCCUUCGGGUUGUAAAGCUCUGUUAAUCGGGACGCGGUACCGGAAGAGAAAGCCACGGCUAACUACGUGCCAGCAGCCGCGGUAAUUC
rnacentral:rRNA from 1 species